rnacentral:rRNA from 1 species
UGGGGAAUAUUGCGCAAUGGGCGAAAGCCUGACGCAGCGACGCCGCGUGAGGGAUGAAGGUUUUCGGAUCGUAAACCUCUGUCAGAAGGGAAGAAACCGCACUGUGCUAAUCAGCAGUGCCUUGACGGUACCUUCAAAGGAAGCACCGGCUAACUCCGUGCCAGCAGCCGCGGUAAUACGGAGGGUGCAAGCGUUAAUCGGAGUUACUGGGCGUAAAGCGCACGUAGGCUGCUUUGUAAGUCAGGGGUGAAAUCCCACGGCUCAACCGUGGAACUGCCUUUGAUACUGCUUAGCUUGAAUCCGGGAGAGGGUGGCGGAAUUCCAGGUGUAGGAGUGAAAUCCGUAGAUAUCUGGAGGAACAUCAGUGGCGAAGGCGGCCACCUGGACCGGUAUUGACGCUGAGGUGCGAAAGCGUGGGGAGCAAACAGG